rnacentral:rRNA from 1 species
CCUUCGGGGGACAAAGUGACAGGUGGUGCAUGGUUGUCGUCAGCUCGUGUCGUGAGAUGUUGGGUUAAGUCCCGCAACGAGCGCAACCCUUAAGCUUAGUUGCCAUCAUUAAGUUGGGCACUCUAAGUUGACUGCCGGUGACAAACCGGAGGAAGGUGGGGAUGACGUCAAAUCAUCAUGCCCCUUAUGAUUUGGGCUACACACGUGCUACAAUGGACAAUACAAAGGGCAGCGAAACCGUGAGGUCAAGCAAAUCCCAUAAAGUUGUUCUCAGUUCGGAUUGUAGUCUGCAACUCGACUACAUGAAGCUGGAAUCGCUAGUAAUCGUAGAUCAGCAUGCUACGGUGAAUACGUUCCCGGGUCUUGUACACACCGCCCGUCACACCACGAGAGUUUGUAACACCCGAAGCCGGUGGAGUAACCUUUUAGGAGCUAGCCGUCGAAGGUGGGACAAAUGAUUGGGGUGAAGUCGUAACAAGGUAGCCGUAUCGGAAGGUGCGGCUGGAUCACCUCCUUU